UUGCUCUUUAAAAUAGCAAAUCAGUAGAGAAUGUAAUUCUCAUGUAAUGGGAUGUAUGAUGAUAUAUGAUGUAUGAGGAUACUAGACACUGAUUUUUCUCCUGUAAUAGUUCAGCAUGGAGGCUGAUUUGCACUCAACAUCGUUUUAAUGUUGAUUAUUUGUGAAUCUGUAGUUUAUCGUCUUUAUGAAUUAUUAUAACAGAAUUCUUAAUUGAUGCAUAAUGAUGAGGAUUUUAGGCUGGUUACUUUUAAAACUGCAGAUGAGAAGCAGGCUCCGAGGACUGGAAUUUUGCUUGCCCUUCGAGAGACAUUUGCAUUUGUGAAGGAAGGGGGGGAUGACCUUGUAGGGACCUGAAAUUGGCCACCCCAGGAUAUGUCUCUUUGGCAUCGGGAUUGUUUGGGGCUGAUUGCUUUUGAUAAACUGGGACAGGGAAGGAGUCUCUGAGGAAUGGAACUUGCCCUUGUUGGGACACAUUUACAUUUGUAAGGUAAAUCUCUAUCUGUAAAAGGUGCCUCCCUCUCUGUACCAGGAAGAAGAAGAGAGAUGACCUUGUCCCUAGAAACUCUUAAUGGGGAAGGCAAGAACUUAAGUUGGUUGCUGUCUGGCAAUCUCAUGUAACUGAUUUAGGGUGGUGGCUUCUAACCUUUCUAACCUUUACUUAAUCCGAUUUGAUUCUUGUCUAAAAGCCAUGGGAUCACCCAAUGACCAGACCCCACCUGCACUGAUACCAUUUUAACGUUUUUUCAUGUUCUUUCCUUUGUCUUGUAAAGAGAUGAUUCACAUACCCAUGCCUUAUAAAAUUAGCCCUAACCCUCAACUCAGGGCAGCAGCAGCGGCUCUGACUGCCCAUGGGCCCUGUCCCCAUGCUAUUCCACACUAUUCUCUAAAUAAAAGAGCACUACUGCCAGAUCUUGAGAGUCCAAGAAAUCUUUCUUUCAACUCCUCGGCUCACCAACCCCGCAUCACACAACAUUGCCACCAAGGCAGGGGCUUCUAUUAGUUUGGUAGGACUGACAUAACAAAAUACCACAGAUUGAGUGGCUUAAACAGCCGAAGUUCAUUUCCGCACAGUUCUGGAGGCUAAAAGUCCAAGAUCUAGGUGUUGACAGGUUUAAUUUCUUGUGAGACCUCUCUCCUUGAUUUGCAAAUGACUCCUUCCUUGAUUUGCAAAUGACUGCUUCUGUGUCUUUACUUGGCCUUUUUUCUAUGCACACACACUCCUGGUGUCUCUUCCUCUUUUUAUAAGGAAAUCAGUCUUAUUGACUUAGGGCCUCACCUUAAUGGUCUAGUUUUAACUUAGUCCCUUCUUUAAAGACCUUAUCUCCAAAUAUGGCUACAUUCAAAGGGUUGAGACUUCAUCAUAUAAAUUUUGAGGGAACACAAUUCAGUCUACGACAUUCUGCUCCCUGGACCUCCAAAAUUCCUGUCCUCACAUGCAAAAUACACUGACCCCAUCCCAACAGCCCAAAAGACUUAACCUGCCACAACUCUAAGUCUGCAUCUCAUCUAAAUAUCAUCUAAAGCAAAUGUGGGUGAGACUGUAGGUAAGAUUUAUCCUGAGGCAAAAUUCCACCCCAGCUGCGAACCUGUGAAAUCAGACAAGUUAUCUGCUUUCAAAAUACAAUGGUGGGACAGGCAUAGGAUAGACAAUCCUGUUCCAAAAGGGAGAAAUCGAAAAGAAGAGAGAGGUCACAAGUUCAGGCAAGUCCAAACCUAAAAGGGCAAAUUCCAUAAGAUUUUAAGGCUUCAGAAUAAUCCUCUUUGGUUCAAUGUUCUGUCCUCUGGGUUCACUGGGGUGAUAGACCCGAUUUCUGGGCCCAUUGGGGUGGUAGCAUUGCCUUCUGGGCCCUGGGCUGCAGUUCCAACUCCAUGGCCCUGGGUGGCAGCAGUCUGGCCUGCUGGGAGCAAGGAGGUGACCCCAAACUGAAACCUCGGAGCAGACAGCCUCGCCUCCAGACCUGUGGUGGAAUGGCAGCCCUGCGGAUGUCUGAAAUGAUGCGGGAUCUUAAGAGUCUAAGAAAUCUUUCUUUUGACUCCUCGGAUCACUGACCCCACAUCAUCAUCAUUCACAAGUUCUACCUUCCACAAAACAUUGGAACACAAUUCAGC
rnacentral:lncRNA from 1 species